GCCGUGUCAUUGUCCCUAAUAAGUCAUUGUCCCGGCAUUUCGGCCGAUGUCCCCAAGCAACUGCUUUGCGUCCAUGUCACUAGAUUGGCGCAAUAGGUUGACAAGGUCGUCCAUAUGGCACCUUUCCUUGGACAAGGCAUCCUCCAAUUGGCACGCGGUAAAUUGACUUAGAUUGUUUGCCCUGGCAAACUUAUGUACUCCAAAACUCAUCCACUGGACGAUGCUGGCUGUAUUUGUUGCGUGGGCAAUCUUGUCGCCGACGGGCGAUGUUGUCCAGGGUGUUCCGGUCAAACUCGUAGGCGCCGACCUCAUUACCGUUGUCCAUGGACAUUGUGUUGGAAGGAUACGUUAAGGUUCAGAUAAAAUGAAGAAAUGAAGAAGCGCUCCUUCAUAGUAUGGAGAUGGUAGAAUCUUCAAGCAACUUUUGAACGACCAGGGAGAGUUGCUGAUAGGCGAAUUUGUAUGAAGCUAUAGACUUCCUUUAUUCUUU
rnacentral:lncRNA from 1 species